GGGCACUUGGCACAGUGGUAGCGCGCCUGCUUUGCAUUACAUAAUGCCUGCAUGAGGUCGUGGGUUCAAUCCCCACAGUGUCCA